rnacentral:rRNA from 1 species
ACCUGCCCAUUGGAUCUAAAAGGCCGCGGUAUUAUGACCGUGCUAAGGUAGCAUAAUCAUUAGUCUUUUAAUUGGAGGCUGGUAUGAAUGGUUGGACAAGAAAUAAGCUGUCUUAAAUAAAAAUAUUGAAUUUAACUUUUAAGUGAAAAGGCUUAAAUUUUCUAAGGGGACGAUAAGACCCUAUAAAACUUUAUAUUUUAAAAUAAUAAUUAAUUUUUAUAUAGAAGAUUUAUUUUUAAAUAUUUUAUUGGGGUGAUAAAGAUAAAAUGUGAGAUAACUGUCUUUUUUUUUUACAAUUAAUAUUUGAGUAAAAGAUCUUAACAAAGGAAAUAAGAGAUUAAGUUACUUUAGGGAUAACAGCGUAAUUUUCUUUAAGAGUUCUUAUCGACAAGAAAGUUUGCGACCUCGAUGUUGAAUUAAAAGUUCUUUAUAGAGUAGAUAUUAUAAUAGAGGGUCUGUUCGACCCUUAAAAUUUUACGUG